rfam:Lactobacillus rhamnosus MTCC 5462 contig1181, whole genome shotgun sequence.
CCUCCUAUGCAACCGCACAUCGUUAGGUUUUAAGCGCAAGCACCUAACUUGGCGAGUCUUCAGGGGAAA